rnacentral:rRNA from 1 species
UGAUGCAGCGACGCCGCGUGAAGGAAGAAGUAUCUCGGUAUGUAAACUUCUAUCAGCAGGGAAGAAAAUGACGGUACCUGACUAAGAAGCCCCGGCUAACUACGUGCC